rnacentral:rRNA from 1 species
CCUACGGGGGGCAGCAGUGGGGAAUAUUGCACAAUGGGGGAAACCCUGAUGCAGCGACGCCGCGUGAGUGAAGAAGUAAUUCUUUAUGUAAAGCUCUAUCAGCAGGGGAGAAAAUGACGGUACCUGAGUAAGAAGCCCCGGCUAACUCCGUGCCAGCAGCCGCGGUACUACGUAGGGGGCAAGCGUUAUCCGGAUUUACUGGGUGUAAAGGGAGCGUAGACGGCAGUGCAAGUCUGGAGUGAAAGGCGGGGGCUCAACCCCCGGACUGCCCUUGAAACUGUACGGCUGGAGUGCAGGAGAGGUAAGUGGAAUUCCUAGUGUAGCGGUGAAAUGCGUAGAUAUUAGGAGGAACACCAGUGGCGAAGGCGGCUUACUGGACUGUAACUGACGUUGAGGCUCGAAAGCGUGGGGAGCAAACAGGAUUAGAUACCCGGGUAGUC